GACGAACGCUGGCGGCGUGCUUAACACAUGCAAGUCGAACGGAAAGGCCCUGCUUUUGUGGGGUGCUCGAGUGGCGAACGGGUGAGUAACACGUGAGUAACCUGCCCUUGACUUUGGGAUAACUUCAGGAAACUGGGGCUAAUACCGGAUAGGAGCUCCUGCUGCAUGGUGGGGGUUGGAAAGUUUCGGCGGUUGGGGAUGGACUCGCGGCUUAUCAGCUUGUUGGUGGGGUAGUGGCUUACCAAGGCUUUGACGGGUAGCCGGUCUGAGAGGGUGACCGGCGACAUUGGGACUGAGAGACGGCCCAGACUCGUAGGGGAGGCAGCGGUGGGGAGUAUUGCACAGUGGGCGGAAGCCUGAUGCAGCGACGCCGCGUGCGGGAUGACGGCCUUCGGGUUGUAAACCGCUUUCGCCUGUGACGAAGCGUGAGUGACGGUAAUGGGUAAAGAAGCACCGGCUAACUACGUG
rnacentral:rRNA from 1 species